UACAGAGGUCCCAAGCGUUGUUCGGAUUCACUGGGCGUAAAGGGUGCGUAGGUGGUCGGGUAAGUCUGAUGUGAAAUCUCCGAGCCUAACUCGGAAACUGCAUCGGAUACUAUUCGGCUUGAGGGUUGGAGGGGGGACUGGAAUACUUGGUGUAGCAGUGAAAUGCGUAGAUAUCAAGUGGAACACCAGUGGCGAAGGCGAGUCCCUGGACAACUCCUGACACUGAGGCACGAAAGCUAGGGGAUCAAACAGG
rnacentral:rRNA from 1 species